rnacentral:rRNA from 1 species
AGAGAUGUGUGAUGACGCAUAUCAAUAAGCGGAGGAAAAGAAACUAACAAGGAUUCCCCUAGUAACGGCGAGUGAAGCGGGAAGAGCUCAAAUUUGAAAUCUUAAAGGGUUUCCCUUUACGAAUUGUAGUUUAAAGAAGUGUUUUCUGUUGGAGUUUUGGUAAAAGUUCUUUGGAAUAGGACAUCAUAGAGGGUGAGAAUCCCGUAUUUGACCAUUACUUUCCAACUUUGUGAUACACUUUCAAAGAGUCGGAUUGUUUGGGAAUGCAGUCCAAAAUGAGUGGUAAAUUUCAUCUAAAGCUAAAUAUUGGCGAGAGACCGAUAGCGAACAAGUACCGUGAGGGAAAGAUGAGAAAGAACUUUGAAAAGAGAGUUAAACAGUACGUGAAAUUGUCAAAAGGGAAGCGUUUGACACCAGUGUUGUUUUUCUCGAAAAUCAAUUACAAAUGGUUGGAUGUUUUGAUAGUUAUGACUUCAUCAGCUUGCUUCUCUCUUUAUAAUCUUUCUUAAUGCACUUUUCGUUUAACAAGUCAACAUCAAUUUCUUUUGUUGUAAAAGAGUAUGAGGAAGGUGGCUUUCUUUUCGGAGAAAGUGUUUAUAGCCUUGUGCCUCCUGCAAUCGGAGAGAUUGAGGUCUGCAGCGUAGAUCCUUCGGGGUUAGAUAGCAUUUGUGCUAAGUUAUAGCCUUUCAUAGACAACUUGUUGACUAUGAUUAGUCAUUGUAGCUUACUCGCUUAUGCUAUUUUACCUACGCUUAGGAUGUUGAAGAUGUAGCACAUCAU